rnacentral:rRNA from 1 species
CCUACGGGAGGCAGCAGUAAGGAAUAUUGGUCAAUGGAGGCAACUCUGAACCAGCCAUGCCGCGUGCAGGAAGACUGCCCUAUGGGUUGUAAACUGCUUUUAUCCGGGAAUAAACCUGCUUACGUGUAAGUAGCUGAAUGUACCGGAAGAAUAAGGAUCGGCUAACUCCGUGCCAGCAGCCGCGGUAAUACGGAGGAUCCAAGCGUUAUCCGGAUUUAUUGGGUUUAAAGGGUGCGUAGGCGGCCUGUUAAAGUCAGGGGUGAAAGACGGUAGCUCAACUAUCGCAGUGCCCUUGAUACUGAUGGGCUUGAAUGGACUAGAGGUAGGCGGAAUGAGACAAGUAGCGGUGAAAUGCAUAGAUAUGUCUCAGAACACCGAUUGCGAAGGCAGCUUACUAUGGUCUUAUUGACGCUGAGGCACGAAAGCGUGGGGAUCAAACAGGAUUAGAUACCCUGGUAGUCCACGCCCUAAACGAUGAACACUCGCUGUUGGCGAAUACACAUCAGCGCGAGACGAACGACGUUAAGUUAGUUCCGUAACCGUCGGGUAGGUUACGGACCGUACCGAAGGGUUAAGGUAACGUUACGAGUUAGAGUUAGGACGGCGUUGAGACGCGACCGACGGACGACGACGAGGGAGGAGG